rnacentral:rRNA from 1 species
UGGGGAAUAUUGCACAAUGGGCGCAAGCCUGAUGCAGCCAUGCCGCGUGUAUGAAGAAGGCCUUCGGGUUGUAAAGUACUUUCAGCGGGGAGGAAGGGAGUAAAGUUAAUACCUUUGCUCAUUGACGUUACCCGCAGAAGAAGCACCGGCUAACUCCGUGCCAGCAGCCGCGGUAAUACGGAGGGUGCAAGCGUUAAUCGGAAUUACUGGGCGUAAAGCGCACGCAGGCGGUUUGUUAAGUCAGAUGUGAAUCCUCGGGCUCAACCUGGGAACUGCAUCUGAUACUGGCAAGCUUGAGUCUCGUAGAGGGGGGUAGAAUUCCAGGUGUAGCGGUGAAAUGCGUAGAGAUCUGGAGGAAUACCGGUGGCGAAGGCGGCCCCCUGGACGAAGACUGACGCUCAGGUGCGAAAGCGUGGGGAGCAAACAGG